CAUAGAGCUGCCAGAGUUGCUUGAAGGUAGGAAGGAUGGAAAUAAUCACACAUCUUUGUUUACGUCCUUGUACCGGCCGGCAAACCAAAGCACAUAUGUGACGUAAUCGCGUACGCGACGUGGUCAGAUCUCGGCAAAGUUUUGCGGUUUGCUGUUUAGACGGAAACGUAACGGCGGAGCGUUUUCUACCUUUCCACUCUGGAGUCCGGUUUCAAAUUUUUCAAGCCCCCAAAACGCCGUCCUCGUAUAAACGGUAGGGUGUUUUGUUGAAAUAUUUUGCCGUCUUCACCUGCAAGCGUCCUCGUGUAAACGGCCCCUGGUUCUCCCCGCCCUUCGGCCAUCCUGAUUGGACCACCCUCCAGCUCCUCCUCCCCGGACCAAUCGGAAGCAGCCAAACACCACACCUGUUGACUAUAAAGCCCCACCACGCCAUCAGUCUUGGUGGCUGGUAUUUUGACCGGUCCACCCUGGUGCUCUCUUUGUUCUGUGGUUCUAUGUGGUCUUUCAGUCUGGAAGCACUUGUGGUGGGUGCUCCAGACAAUUCCGACCUUCUGUUGGCUUUAGUUUAGUGUGGAGACUGAGGCUCCACUUCGUAGUCUGCCAACUCUGUGUAGAAACCACUAUGUAUGUUGAGCUGUUGUAAAUUAUGCUCAUUAUGUACACCGUUUCAGAGGCACCAGUUUUGUUUAGUUUGUUCUGUACACAUUUUGUAUUAGUUUUUGUUUCUGGUGGUGGGUGUUGCUUCUGUAGUUCUGUUUGGCUAGGGAGUUUAGUUGUUUUCUUUGUGUUUAGCUUAGUUGCAAACUCUGUUAGCCUUUGUUUUAUUCCGUUCUUUGUUUUAGCAACAUCCACCAGUCUUGUGUGUUUAUUGUCACUUUUCCGUUCCCUUUUACUACUAAGCAAUAAAUCCCUUAACCUAAACCAAUUACAUCUGGUUAUUUUAUUGCAUCCAGCCAGCCCCUAGAGGUUGGAUCGUAACAAGUGGGGGCUCGUCCGGGAAUUAACUAGGGGUCCGGAUUACUAGGGGUCCAGGAUUUACUAGUGGUCCCGCAGCUGUACAGGUAAGGUGAUUUCAUUGCUUAGUAGGUUAUUUUGAUUUUGGUGUUGGUGGUGGAUAUUUGGUUUGAGGUUGGUGAUGGCAUUUGUGUUUGUACAAACCUAGGGGUUUGUAUUUUAAGGGGAGGGGUGUUACGGCCACCAGUAUUGGUGUGCCGUUUGUUUUGAGGUGGUGCUUUAUUGGGCCUUUUUGUUUGGGAGAAAUUUGUGUGUGGGUUCAGCUGUGGCUUGUUGCAGAGCCUUUUGGAGCCCCAGCUGUCAGCCGUUUCAGCUGAUGACGAAGCUGAUGACGACCUGCACUUCCGUCUGGUUCUCCCCGCCCUUCGGCCAUCCUGAUUGGACCACCCUCCAGCUCCUCCUCCCCGGACCAAUCGGAGGCAGCCAAGCACCACACCUGUUGACUAUAAAGCCCCACCACGCCAUCAGUCUUGGUGGCUGGUAUUUUGACCGGUCCACCCUGGUGCUCUCUUUGUUCUGUGUGGUCUUUCGGUCUGGAAGCACUUUUGGUGGGUGCUCCAGAAAAUUCCGACCUUCUGUUGGCUUUAGUUUAGUGUGGAGACUGAGGCUCCACUUCGUGUAUGUUGUCUGUUCCAAGGGAGCAAAUAAUUAAAGAAACCCAAAAGAGUGUUUUUGUGUCAAGUCAGGCAGAUGAGACAACAGAUAUUUCAACACAGCCACAACUUGUGCUUGUACUACGCUACAUUGAUGACAAACAGUGUGCAGGAAAGAUUUUUUGAAUUCAUUCCUCUGCAGUCAGCUACGUCUGAGUCCAUUGCUACUGUAUUAACAGAGCGUCUUGCUGCCAUCAUUCCUGAGGAUCAGAAAAGCAAGCUAAUCUGCCAGGCGUAUGAUGGAGCCACUGCAGGUGUUCAGAGGAAAAUCAAAGAUGUGUACCCAAAUGCCCACUACAUCCACUGCUAUGCACACCAACUCAACCUGAUCAUGCAGCAGGCCACCUCUCACAUUUCCAAGGUGAGAAUUUGUUUUCUGAGCUGGGUGGAUUUGCCAGCUUUUUUUCCAGAUCACCCAAGCGUACAGCUGUUCUUGAUAAAAUGGUGGCCCAUAGACUGCCAACAUCCAGCAAUGUCAGAUGGAACUUUUACAGCCGAGCCAUCAACACUGUUUGAGCACAGAGAGGACCUCAUUCAGUGAUUUGAGAACAUACGAGACUCGGGUGACUUUGAUGCCAGUACCAUCAGAGAGGCAGGAGCCAUGGCCAUGCUGCUGGAACAUCAGGACUUUAAGUUCUUUCUGGAACUUUUUCACCACAUCAUGCCACAUGUGGACCUCCUCUAUGCCAAGCUCCAGAAGAAGAACAUAGAUGCAGUUCACAUAAAAGUGAGCAUCCAGCAGUUUGAACAGGACAUGGAAAACAUCAGAAAUUCUCUCCAUUCCAUGGGUGAGCAAAGAAGUGGCUGUCCGACAGCAAAGAGGUGUCGGGCACUCAGUGCAGAAGAGAUCUGCAACACCAUUCUGGGACACACCAAGGAGCGCUUCUCCUUCACCAACCAUCUCGUCUGUGCAACCUUGUUGCAGGGGGACAGGUUUGAAGAACAUCAUGGGUCAUUUCCUGAAGAGGCACUGCAACGCACUUUGAAGGCCUACCCGAUGCUGAAUGGAAGCAAGCUGAAGACAGAACUUGGUCUCAUCUACAGCAAAGUAGAGUUCAGAGCCUGCUGUGGUGCACUGGACCUAUUCCAGCCGUUCAUGGAGAACAAUCUUGAAGUUCUUUUCAGAAACUGUCAAUCUUUUAAGGAUCCUGAUCACCACACCCAUGACCACAGCUGAAGCAGAGAGGUGUUUCUCAACCUUGAAAAGAGUGAAAACUUUUCUCAGAAACUGUCAGAGCUCCCUUCUCACCCCCUGUCUUUCCCAUCUGGCAUCCCAAAUACCUUUCUCCCCAUCUCUCUCCCUCUUUUUCCUCUCUCCCUCACUCCUGCUCCUGUGUUUCUUCCUUCUCCUCUCUUUCCUUUUCUCUCUCUCCAUCCAGCAGUAAGCCAAGCUGUACCUACUCAGGUAAUCAGCUGAUUCGCGGGAGCCUGGACAGCUGAAGCACAUGCCACUAAUCAUCUGCCUCAGUACAAAAGACCAGCUCACAUCUCCAUUCUUCGCCAGAUUGUCACACUUGACUACCAGUCAGUACUUUCUAGGCCAAAAAAAAAAGGUAUGUUGCAAAUCUGGAGGUUUUUGUUUCUCUUCUGCCCAGACUCCUGCUGUCUGGGCUCUCACCAGCUCUGUCACCUCUGAACACCCCCGGAACCCAUUCAACCCACUCCUUUCUCUCCUGGACUCCCGGCUCCACUUCCCCUGCAUCUGUCUCCCCAUCGGCUUCCCUCCUUCAUCUGCCGUCAGUUGUCUGGAACUCUCCCUUAUCCACAAAUCAUUCACCGUACAAUAAAAACUGUUUCAUUCACC